CCUACGGGAGGCUGCAGUGGGGGAUAUUGCACAAUGGGGGAAACCCUGAUGCAGCGACGCCGCGUGGGCGAAGAAGUAUUUCGGUAUGUAAAGCCCUAUCAGCAGGGAAGAAGAAAUGACUGUACCUGAGUAAGAAGCACGGGCUAAAUACGUGCCAGCAGCCGGGGUAAUACGUAGGGUGCACGCGUUAUCCGGAUUUACUGGGUGUAAGGGGAGCGCAGGCGGCACGGCAAGCCUGAUGUGAAAGCCCGGGGCUCAACCGCGGGACUGCAUUGGGAACUACCGGGCUGGAGUGCCGGAGAGGUAGGUGGAAUUCCUAGUGUAGCGGUGAAAUGCGUAGAUAUUAGGAGGAACACCAGUGGCGAAGGCGGCCUACUGGACUGUGACUGACGUUGAGGCUCGAAAGCGUGGGGAGCAAACAGGAUUAGAUACCCUAGUAGUC
rnacentral:rRNA from 1 species